CCUCGAGAUUUGCUCACCUCAGCCUCCCAAAGUUCUAGGGACCACCACCUUCAUUCACCUGCACCCAAACCACCCUUCUUAAAGGGAUCCCAGCAGUUCCUAAGCAGUAUAGUAUUGAGUGAGGGGUGAGUAGAAAGGACAACACAGCACAGGGAGCAGCCCCUUACAUUAUGGAAUAAGAAGGACCACACAAGAACAAUGGCAAGAAAAUGAGGGCUGACCUCAAGCCCUGACUUAGGGGUUUCAAA